UGUGAAGCUGGAUCAUCUCAGUCAAUAAUCUUAAAGCAGGUCUGGAUGCUGGAUCACCUGGGCCAUCUUUUUAUAUUGGUGUCAGGUCCCUUGUUCUGAAAAUAUAUAAACUUUUAAAGGCCCAGAUAAUAAAAUGUCAUACAAUGUCACAGGCCUCUACAUCAGCUCCUGCCUUCAGAUUCCUGCCCUGUUGGAGUUCCUGUCCUGUCUACCUUUGAUGAUGAAUUGCCCCAUGGAAGCGCUAUAAAACUUUUGUUCCUAUGAAAUAAUCCACAUGGGUAUUUGAUAAAUUGAACUUGAUGCUACAGAGAAUCUGAAAGAAUGUACAGACAAGGAAUUAUGGCACAAAGAAGGAUGAGCGCCUCUUCCCACAAUUCUUCUCAAUGCUUCUUGACUGAUGUAGCCUGGAUCAAGAACUUUCCAGACUGUUUGGAGAAAGCUUAGUUUUUCCUUAUUUGAUAACAUAAAUUAAAAAAUACAUAUAGAAAAGUUUCACAUGCUGACCAGGUACUAGUCAACAUGCAGGGAUAUCUACAUAUUAAUAUAUGUAAAUACGCUAGCUGCUUAUAAUUUCAUUUCUUUGCAUGUAGAUCUGGAAAUUUUAGAUUUGCACAAAAUUUUGAGUCAUCAAUUUGUGUGCUAAAUUAAAAAAAUGUUUUCAUGCGUACGAUAUUGAAAAUCAAUGUGAAUUUUGAGGCAUGAGGCAUUACCAUAAUGAAAAAUAAAAAUGAGUUUAAAAUUAAAUUAUUUUCCUCAAUUUUUCUUUUCUUCAAAUUAUGUUU